rnacentral:tmRNA from 1 species
GGGGGCGUCCAGGUUUCGACGUGUAUGUUGAAGUGUUGGUCGCGCGCCAGGGGCCCCCGCUUGGCCUCGUUAACAAUGCGGGAAAACACACAAGCCAACUCUGAGCUGGCUCUCGCGGCUUAAUUUAGCCGAGACGUUUCACCUCCAACUCCUGCUAAGGGGAUGAAGCGACGACAGCAGGGCGUCUGAGGAACCGAGUACCCGGGGACUGAGGAUGUAUCCAUCGUGGGUGCUGGCGCACUGAGUAGCCUGUCCGUGGGCAGCUCAUUGGGCGAGACUUAAUUACGGAACACGCGCGUAGAAGCCAUCGCAACGCUUAUGCGGACGGGGGUUCGAUUCCCCCCGCCUCCACCA